GGGGCCGUAGUCUAGCUAGGGAUGACGACAGUUGAUGCGAAGUAGUGUCAACCGUUAAGGGCUCCAGAACCGUGUCGGGAUGAAGAAAUUCUGGAGCGGUGAAGAAACCCGUAGGAACGGGGAUGAACUGUUCCGGGUAAAGGUCGUCGGUUCAAAUCCGGCCGGCCCCACCA
rnacentral:tRNA from 1 species